CAAUAGCGUAUAUUAAAGUUGUUGCAGUUAAAACGCUCGUAGUUGAAUAUCUGCUAUAUGUGGUCGGUCCACUUCGGUGUGAUCCGUUUCACGAAAUAGCAUUCGUUUGCUUUGAUUUAUCAUUGCAAACCGUUUACUUUGAGGAAAUUAGAGUGUUCAAAGCAGGCAAGUGCCUUGAAUACUUCAGCAUGGAAUAAUUGAUAGGACUUCCGUUCUGUCGUUGGUUCUGGGAAUGUGAAGUAAUGAUUAAAAGGGGCGGGCGGGGGCGAUUCGUAUUGAACAGUCAGAGGUGAAAUUCUUAGAUUUGUUUCAAGACGAACUACUGCGAAAGACAUUUGUCCAAGUACGUUUCCCAUUAAAUCAAGAACGAAAGUUAAGGGGAGUCGAAGAUGAUUAGAUACCAU
rnacentral:rRNA from 1 species